rnacentral:misc_RNA from 1 species
GGAAUAUCGUAAAUACAGUUGCCAUUGAACUCGUAACUCAAUGACCGAGUGUCUAUUUCAUAAUACAAGAGUUCAGGGAUUUAAAUUCUAAAAACCAUUUCCCCUCUAAACAUUUUCAAAAUACAAAAAAGAAAAAGUACAUUUGCUCAUUAAAGCUUUUCUAUAAACUUAUUCUACAUUCAAAAUUGAUGUGUCAUUGCUAUUCUAAUGCAUUAUUUGCAAUAGAACACAUUUUUCUUAUUCUCGUGUGCAGACUGCAGGGCCAAAUCAGGAGCUCAGCUCAAAUGGCACCAACAUGACUGCAACAAUUUAAUCAGCACUACAAAUUUUUUUCUUU